rnacentral:rRNA from 1 species
GAUGAACGCUGGCGGCGUGCCUAAUACAUGCAAGUCGAGCGAACGGACGAGAAGCUUGCUUCUCUGAUGUUAGCGGCGGACGGGUGAGUAACACGUGGAUAACCUACCUAUAAGACUGGGAUAACUUCGGGAAACCGGAGCUAAUACCGGAUAAUAUUUUGAACCGCAUGGUUCAAAAGUGAAAGACGGUCUUGCUGUCACUUAUAGAUGUAUCCGCGCUGCAUUAGCUAGUUGGUAAGGUAACGGCUUACCAAGGCAACGAUGCAUAGCCGACCUGAGAGGGUGAUCGGCACCACUGGAACUGAGACACGGUCCAGACUCCUACGGGAGGCAGGAGUAGGGAAUGUUACGCAAUGGGCGAAAGCCUGACGGAGAAACGCCGCGUGAGUGACGAAGGUAUUCGGAUCGUAAAACUCUGUUAUUAGGGAAGAACAUAUGUGUAAGUAACUGUGCACAUCUUGAAGGUACCUAAUCAGAAAGCAACGGCUAACUCCGUG